rnacentral:rRNA from 1 species
UACAGGGGGUGCAAACGUUGCUCGGAAUCAUUGGGCGUAAAGCGCACGUAGGCGGUCUGUUAUGUCGGAUGUGAAAGCCCUUGGCUCAACUGAGGAAGUGCAUCCGAAACUGGCAGGCUAGAGUACGAAAGAGGAUCGCGGAAUUCCCGGUGUAGAGGUGAAAUUCGUAGAUAUCGGGAGGAACACCUAUGGCGAAGGCAGCUCGCUGGGACGUUACUGACGCUGAGACGCGAAAGCGUGGGGAGCAAACAGG